UGGGAAGUCGUCCAAUUGGUAGGACACAUGACUCUGGAUCAUGGAAUCGGGGUUCGAGUCCCUGCUUCCCAGCCA
rnacentral:tRNA from 1 species